rnacentral:rRNA from 1 species
ACACUCCUACGGGAGGCAGCAGUGGGGAAUAUUGCACAAUGGGCGCAAGCCUGAUGCAGCCAUGCCGCGUGUAUGAAGAAGGCCUUCGGGUUGUAAAGUACUUUCAGCGGGGAGGAAGGCGAUAAGGUUAAUAACCUUGUUGAUUGACGUUACCCGCAGAAGAAGCACCGGCUAACUCCGUGCCAGCAGCCGCGGUAAUACAGAGGGUGCAAGCGUUAAUCGGAAUUACUGGGCGUAAAGCGCACGCAGGCGGUCUGUCAAGUCGGAUGUGAAAUCCCCGGGCUCAACCUGGGAACUGCAUUCGAAACUGGCAGGCUAGAGUCUUGUAGAGGGGGGUAGAAUUCCAGGUGUAGCGGUGAAAUGCGUAGAGAUCUGGAGGAAUACCGGUGGCGAAGGCGGCCCCCUGGACAAAGACUGACGCUCAGGUGCGAAAGCGUGGGGAGCAAACAGGAUUAGAAACCCUGGUAGUCCCA